rnacentral:rRNA from 1 species
AGAGUUUGAUCCUGGCUCAGAGUGAACGCUGGCGGCAGGCCUAAUACAUGCAAGUCGAACGGCAGCACAGCAGAGCUUGCUCUGUGGGUGGCGAGUGGCGGACGGGUGAGGAAUACAUGGGAAUCUGCCCAGUCGUGGGGAUAACGUAGGGAACUUACGCUAAUACCGCAUGCGCCCUUCGGGGAAAGCCGGGGACCUUCGGGCCUGGCGCGAUUGGAUGAGCCCAUGUCGGAUUAGCUAGUUGGCGGGUAAUGGCCCACCAAGGCGACGAUCCGUAGCUGGUCUAAGAGGAUGAUCAGCCACACUGGAACUGAGACACGGUCCAGACUCCUACGGGAGGCAGCAGUAGGGAAUAUUGGACAAUGGGCGCAAGCCUGAUCCAGCCAUGCCGCGUGAGUGAAGAAGGCCCUCGGGUUGUAAAGCUCUUUUGUCCGGAAAGAAAAGCGCCGGGUUAAUACCCUAGUGUCCUGACGGUACCGGAAGAAUAAGCACCGGCUAACUUCGUG